UAUUCCAGCACCAUCAAGAGUAACAGUGAGGAAGAGGCCAACUGCUGCUGCAAUAGAAAUCAGGGAUACAGUGAUUAAUUCAAAUUCAAAUUCAAGGGGUAAUAUCCUGAAUUCGAGGAUGGGAAUGUUAGACGACGAUGAUGGCCUUGGAAGAAUGCAUAGAGUUGUUAGAGACCAGGAUAUUGACCAUUCGAGUGGUGCUGAAGAUGACAUGUCUGAAUGAUUGGUCCUAAUGCAAAUGCUGCAACUAGAACAAAGCAUUCGGAAGUUUACAGACGGUGUGGCAGGUGACUUGUAGGAAGUUAUUUAUCGGGAUGUUGUUGUGAAAUAAAAAGAGGUAGAAAUAUUAUCCCCCGUGUACAUGCCAACCAUCCGACAUAAAUUUUCAGGAUGUAUCCGGUUUUAGUAGAUACAAGUUUUUUCAAUACCAUAAAAGGCAGAAAGAAUGAAUGGUGUAAAGGAAUAAAAAAAAAAAAAAGAAUACAUCAAAGCGUCAACGGUUUGAUGUCAUGUAAACAUCUUAAUAUAUAAAGCAGUUGAGAUAUUUGUUUCUUUUU
rnacentral:misc_RNA from 1 species